rnacentral:rRNA from 1 species
UACGUAGGGGGCAAGCGCUGUCCGGAUUUAUUGGGCGUAAAGAGCGUGUAGGCGGCUUUACAGGUCCGUUGUGAAAACUCGAGGCUCAACCCCGAGACGCCGAUGGAAACCAUGUGGCUAGAGUCCGGAAGAGGAGAGUGGAAUUCCUGGUGUAGCGGUGAAAUGCGCAGAUAUCAGGAAGAACACCCGUGGCUAAGGCGGCUCUCUAGUACGGUACUGACGCUGAGACGCGAAAGCCAGGGGAGCAAACGGG